GUUCACACUAACUCCUCAGAGACAGUACAAAAGUCUGGCAGUUCACGGCCUGUGUUAGAGAUUUCCAGAAGAGUGAUGGGGUGUUCCACAUAAAAUGACUUACCCUGGUCUAUCCUACAUGCCAAUGGCCAUGAGGAACCUACCUGGGGACCUCAAACAAAGCUGCCGUCAAAGCUUGAACUUCAAGGCUGCUUACUUCAGCUGUACUUACAAAACACUUUAUAAAAGCCGAGAUUGGAAAUGAGCUGUGCAAUUUAAAGACUGGAGGUGAGGGGCCAGCAAGAAGC